AUUGAACGCUGGCGGCAGGCCUAACACAUGCAAGUCGAGCGGAUGAAGGGAGCUUGCUCCUGGAUUCAGCGGCGGACGGGUGAGUAAUGCCUAUGAAUCUGCCUGGUAGUGGUGGAUAACGUCCGGAAACGGGCGCUAAUACCGCAUACGUCCUGAGGCAGAAAGUGGGGGAUCUUCGGACCUCACGCUAUCAGAGGAGCCUAGGUCGGAUUAGCUAGUUGGUGGGGUAAAGGCCUACCAAGGCGACGAUCCGUAACUGGUCUGAGAGGAUGAUCAGUCACACUGGAACUGAGACACGGCCCAGACUCCUACGGGAGGCAGCAGUGGGGAAUAUUGGACAAUGGGCGAAAGCCUGAUCCAGCCAUGCCGCGUGUGUGAAGAAGGUCUUCGGAUUGUAAAGCACUUUAAGUUGGGAGGAAGGGCAGUAAGUUAAUACCUUGCUGUUUUGACGUUACCAACAGAAUAAGCACCGGCUAACUUCGUG
rnacentral:rRNA from 1 species